GAGCAGCAGUGGGGAAUAUUGCACAAUGGGCGAAAGCUGAUGCAGCCAUGCCGCGUGUGUGAAGAAGGCCUUCGGGUUGUAAAGCACUUUCAGCGAGGAGGAAAGGUUACUGGCUAAUAUCCAGUAGCUGUGACGUUACUCGCAGAAGAAGCACCGGCUAACUCCGUGCCAGCAGCCGCGGUAAUACGGAGGGUGCGAGCGUUAAUCGGAAUUACUGGGCGUAAAGCGUGCGCAGGCGGUUUGUUAAGCGAGAUGUGAAAGCCCCGGGCUCAACCUGGGAACUGCAUUUUGAACUGGCAAACUAGAGUCUUGUAGAGGGGGGUAGAAUUCCAGGUGUAGCGGUGAAAUGCGUAGAGAUCUGGAGGAAUACCGGUGGCGAAGGCGGCCCCCUGGACAAAGACUGACGCUCAUGCACGAAAGCGUGGGGAGCAAACAGGAUUAGAUACCCUGGUAGUCCACGCCGUAAACGAUGUCUACUCGGAGUUUGGUGUCUUGAACACUGGGCUCUCAAGCUAACGCAUUAAGUAGACCGCCUGGGGAGUACGGCCGCAAGGUUAAAACUCAAAUGAAUUGACGGGGGCCCGCACAAGCGGUGGAGCAUGUGGUUUAAUUCGAUGCAACGCGAAGAACCUUACCUACUCUUGACAUCCACAGAA
rnacentral:rRNA from 1 species